rnacentral:rRNA from 1 species
UACGAAGGGGGCAAGCGUUGUUCGGAUUUACUGGGCGUAAAGCGCACGUAGGCGGCUCGAUCAGUCAGGGGUGAAAUCCCAGGGCUCAACCCUGGAACUGCCUUUGAUACUGUCGAUCUGGAGUAUGGAAGAGGUGAGUGGAAUUCCGAGUGUAGAGGUGAAAUUCGUAGAUAUUCGCAAGAACACCAGUGGCGAAGGCGGCUCACUGGCCCGGUACUGACGCUGAGGAGCGAAAGCAUGGGUAGCGAACAGG